CCUACGGGUGACAGCAGUGAGGAAUAUUGGUCAAUGGACGAGAGUCUGAACCAGCCAAGUAUCGUGAAGGAUGACUGCCCUAUGGGUUGUAAACUUCUUUUAUAUGGGAAUAAAACGUUCCACGUGUGGGAUUUUGUAUGUACCAUAUGAAUAAGGAUCGGCUAACUCCGUGCCAGCAGCCGCGGUAAUACGGAGGAUCCGAGCGUUAUCCGGAUUUAUUGGGUUUAAAGGGAGCGUAGGUGGAUUUUUAAGUCAGUUGUGAAAGUUUGCGGCUCAACCGUAAAAUUGCAGUUGAAACUGGCAGUCUUGAGUACAGUAGAGGUGGGCGGAAUUCGUGGUGUAGCGGUGAAAUGCUUAGAUAUCACGAAGAACUCCGAUUGCGAAGGCAGUUCACUGGACUGCAACUGACACUGAGGCUCGAAAGUGUGGGUAUCAAACAGGAUUAGAUACCCUUGUAGUC
rnacentral:rRNA from 1 species